GCGCGCGCCUGCCGCACCGCCUCACAGGGCAGGGCUCCCUCAGUGCUGCAGGCGCGCUGUGACACGGGUCACCCCCAGCCCUUGGCCUGGAGGAACAAAAGGGCCCGCUGUGAUAAUCAUCUCUGAUCUGGAGAUAAUUUCCUACGUGCUCUGAGGGGCCGUUUCCUGCCUCUUCAUAGCCCUGUUCCCAGAUAACGGGGUCAAAGCCCAGCCUGGCCCAGGCGGCAGGGAAGAUGGUGUCGCAGCCGCUGAAGAGGAAGGAAACCCCGGAAAGGACUCAGCAGGGCUCGGGGGCAGCGCUUGGCACACGGGGCGGAUGAGCUGUUUGAAUUUCAGAGGGAGAUUGGCGCCGAGGGCCCAGACAGGCACCGAGCUGUGAGUCACGUCCCGGGGGCCGGCAGCGCCGCCCGGCCUGUCCAGCCACAGUGGGCAAGGCCGUGACAAAACAGCUGCGCUGCUCCCCGGAGGUGUAGAAACCUCUGCAGACGGUGUGAUUUUAGCUCAGCCUUGUGACUUCGUUUAAUUUGUGCUUUUGGUACUCGUUUUGCUUCAACGUGAAAUGAAGCAGCACUUGGAAAAAAAAAAAAAGUCAGUUAAAAUGGAGAAAGAGAUUUAAGAUGCCUGUCUCGAAGCUCCUGACUGGACUGUUGUGCAGUGUUAUUCCUGCUUUGAUGUCUUUCUUUCAUGCCCUGCCUUUUCCAAAAGUUCAGUCAUUACACAGUCAUUUUUUUCCUCUUUGUUCCUCAUCCUACGUUGGCAGCCAGUGCCAGCUGAGGUGUCUGGAUUGGGACAUAUGGGCUGUGUCUCUGCAGACAUUUAGCAGAGUUCAAAUCAUCUAAAAUGGAAGACUUCUUCAGUCCAGUGUCAUGUUUUAGACAAAACCAUCCAGGAAAAGUCUCAUCAUUAAGAUGAAAGGAUCUUAAAGCAGCCCCUGACUCCAUGUGCAGGUAUCAUUUUACCAGCCGCUGACACACAGCCAUCUCCUGGGUGGAAAACAACAGCUGUUAGUCAUGUACAGCAAAACAGUGACCUAGAGAUGAAUAAUUACAUCUGAAAAUUCACAUCAGUUGCCAGCAACUCACAUCUAUGCAAAAAAAAUUCAUCCAUUACUAGGAAAUCUUACUUAGAAGCUAUACCUCUGAUCCAUUCCUGCUGGCUUAAGUGCUGGUGUCUGCCAGUAAGAGUCAGUUUUAAACACCUGUAGACAGGCUACAAUAGAAUAUGAAGGUUAAGAUGUUUUCUUGUGUCAUUUGAACAGAUCUGGCUUGUUUGCUGUUUGACCAUGGCCAAAACACAGAUUAAAAGAUAGCACUUUGCAAUAAUAUACUAAAUAAAUACUUGCAAUAAUAUAUUAAAUAAAAAUUUAAAAUAAUUACAAAAGCUGUAAGUUAGCAGCAGAUUUAGUAACUCAUAGUAUGUAAAAAGUAAAUAAAAAUUCCUGCUGCUUCAUUUGAUUGAAUUACAAUUUUUGUUAAAAUAAAAAUCAGAUAUGCACAGUGAUUUUGCCUCCAUUUUGUACAGAUAAUACUAGAAUCUCAAAAUAGCUGGAACAUGUCAGAAAUAAGUAGUAUUAAUUAUAAACCAGUUUUUGUGCAGUACUGUGUGGAGCUGGACUGCUGCUGAAGAACCAACACACCCACCCUCCCAUCCAGACAGGAUUCUAAGGCAUGGAGAGGUUUUCAGUUUGGGAGGAACUUCCAAAUUAGAUGUUCUGAACUUAUAUUUAUGCAGGCUGUGUGCAUCCCUCAAGUAAUUCCCUCCUCAGUUUUAGCAACUGUGGUUAAACUAAACCAGACAUUUUAGGUAAAAGAUCCCACAUUCUACUUCCAUAUGAGAAAAAGGUGAUUUGUGCAUCAUUAAUGUUUUCUGAUAAGACUGGGCUUCAAUUCCCUAGACUGCAGACAAUCAUCUCAGGUGUAUUACAUCCCUACAAAUGCAUUUGGUUUAGGAAGAAUGGAUGCAUGGCUGGUGCCACUUUUCCUUUUUGGUACAUGUAAAUACCUUUAUGCUCUUUGACUUUACCUGUUGGCAGCUGAGCAUGGCCAGUUUUAGUGCAGAGGAGCUCAAAAGUGCAUCAGCUGCCCAUGAAACAGAACAAAACCUCAGCUGGCAGAAUAUUCCCUUGAGAAGGCCCUGUACCUCUCUCCCUGUGCCCAGCUGUUCCUUCUUCCUUUCACCAAAGCUUUGGAUCCCAUCAGUUGGGCUGAGUGCCAAAUAAAUUGUACAUGUGGCUCAUCCCUAAGUGAGGAGAAGUAAAUUUCUGUCAAGGGUACAGAAUAAGAAUCCUUAUUUUGUUUCAAAUCAAGUACUGGGUAUGCUUCCAAUGCAAAAUUAACAACCCUAAUUUAAACUAGGAGGAAAAUGGGAAAGGAUAUGUUGGAUUUGGAAGUAGACAGCUGGAGAAGAAAUACAGUAGUGAAAGCAGUUAUGAAACAAAACUGAAGCAAUCACAAUCACUUCUGCAAAUGUGGAGGCUGAAAUACUUCAGGAUACAAGUCCACUAAUUACAAAUCUGGCAAAUAUGCCUGUACAGCUUUACCUCUGUGCUGGCAGGAAAUAGGAAAAUAGAUCAUCAAGGAAGCUAAUUACUAUUCUUCUGGACUUCCUAAUGUAUCAGCAGUUUAAGUGUUGGUAUUUUGAUCACUCAGUUCUGGAAGAGCUGUUUGAUUGUUCUCUCACAGACCAGAAAUAACUUAAAGCUUUCUUAGUUCAUUGUCCAUCUGUCCACAAUGUCUUGUUUUAAACUGGCUCAGAGAGCUUACUGUAAAAAAAAAAAUAGCCUUUUACUGUCAGAUACAAGAUUGACAUAUUUAGGACACCAGAGAAUUUAUAAAUUAAAAAACCCACAGAAUCAGCUGGAAAUCCCUAUGAGUAAAUGUUUUUCUUAAGGUAACAGAAAGCUUAAGUGGGCUCGUGAAAGUUCAGUUCCUGGAGCAUCAUUCUUGAGAUGAAAACCAAUCAAUAAUAAUUACAGCUCUGUGUAACAACCUGUAAUUUUUCCUGCAGAAACCUGGAAAAUCCUGUUAUCAAACCUGAAAUAUUUCCUAUUUUGUUUAUGUAGGCAAUGGUAGUAAACAAGAAGUGGUUUAUGUCUGCUGAGUAAGAGAAAAUUGACAUUUUUAAAGCAAAGCAAUUUGAUUAUUAUUUGGCCUGUGUGUGAGUUUCAAAAAAGGACAUGCUGGCCUAAAAUGAGCUAUUGCUAAAAAAAUUAUUAGGAUGGUUUGAGCUAAACUCGGUGGUUUUUUUACCUAAAUGAAAUACAUGCAAGUAAGAUAGUGCAUACUUAACUUUCAACAGCCACAUUUUGCUCAGAUGUGAAGAAAUUUUGGGCCUGAAAGCAAAAAGUUAUAUUUUUAUCAAAUAUUAUGUGCCCUUAAGGUUAGUUCAUGUAACUUAGGGUUAUUAUACCACUAAGUAAAAAAAAAAAAGAGAAAAAUAAUGUAGUGCUAAGGUAGAUGAUCAUCUGCAUUAAGUCAUUUCCUUACAACUGCAUUCUGAGCCUUAUAUUCAUUAGCUUUGCAGAGCAUCCAACUGCAACAUUUAGUGAAUAAUGCAAUCACAAAAUAGCAUAUCCUGAUAAAUGGAAUAAUGGAUGGGGUCUCUAGAAAUUAGUAUUCACAAAAUAGCAUAUCCUGGUAAAUGGAAUAAUGGAUGGGCUCUCUAGAAAUCAGUAUGCACACACAGAAGGAGAGACAGGGCAGAAGGUGGAAACCCCUUCCACCCCCAAGUUUUCUCAAGAUGUUUCUUUGGCUCAUUAAUUAUUCAUGAACGUCUUCUAUUCUCGUAUGUAAUCCAAGAAUUAGCCUCUCAGGUUGGUUGUUUGUAACAGUGAGUAAUACCCUCUAGUGGUACACAUAGGAAAAGGAGCUAGACAAAGUGAUUAAUUCUUUUUUCAUUGUGAAAGAGGCUAAGUAAGGUUGCAUUUAAAUAACAUAACCCUAUCUCUUUGUAUAACACAGGGCAUCACUGGUCUGUCUAGAGGUGCUGCUUAAAAUGGAAAAUGCACUGCAUUGAAUUAGAUGUCAGAAACAAUCACUUUAAUCACUUGUUUGCAGGGGGAACAAAUUGCCAUUGCAGUCUGGAAGGAGUGGUUCUAGAGACUCCCAGGUCAGAGAGGUAUGUCCUUACAUCUGAAGGCUACAUUUAAUUCCAACACAUUACAAGUAACACUGUAGCCAAAAAAAGGAAUAUUUAUCAGUCUCUAACAUUGCAGUGUAAUAAAAUCUGUAUUUCCAGACCCUGUGUUCAGUCCAGAGUUCACUAUCAAAAAAUUUUCUGAAAAAGCUCAUGAUCAGGGUUUCCUGCAGUUACCAGGUCUUUUGUUUUAUUUGCCAGUUGGCAAAUGUUCAGAGAUGGAGGUGACAACUGACAGUGCUGAAGAAUGGACUCCAACAAAUGCCCCUCUUAACCAGAAAAAGCUAUUGAACUUCUUUAAACAAAUGUGCAAAUACUCUUGACUCUUUUUCCAGAAGCCCAGUCUACUAAGGCAGAGUAAUUGAGGUCUGUUUUGAAAUCAUCUUUGCUUCCAUAAACAAUACCCCCAAGUAGGGGGAAUAUCCAGGAAGUGGAUGACACUUGCCUACUCCCAUGUCACUCUGAUUGUCACUGGUUUUGCCUUUCUGCAAGUCCAUUAUUGCUAUAAGAUUUAAAAGCUUUUGGGAGUUUUUCAGGAUUUUCUGGUGCAGUGAUUACUCCACCCCUCCUAGAGGAAGGAUCUCAGUGUUCAGUAUCACACUGGGUCAGACUUUAAAUCAGCUUCUAACCUAAUGUUAAGCAAGAUGGGAGUCAGGAACCUAUUAUUUUAAGGUCCCAUGAAGGAAGGAUUUACUGUGCCUUAUCUUUCUCAGCUGUAGUUCCUGGCAUUAGUUCAGCUACUGCAGAGUCUUGGACCAGUGUAAUCUUCAAUAUUUCUUGUCAUCUCAUUCUUUACUUCUUUUGCUGUGGCAAACUAAUCUCUGUUCUCUUUAUUCUCUUGUAAAGCAUAUAGUAAAAGAAUGUAAAAAUUGCCCAUCUCCCAGGCUGGAGUAACUUUGCCAAUCCUGCUGCAGGAUAUAAUGAAACUUUCAGCCACCACAUCACUGUUAAUAAAACGGAGACAGCAGUUAAAAAAGUACUGACAAGAAUUUAUUAAUUUAUGGUUGAGAACAAUAAAAUGUGUCUGACAGUGGAAUGAUGAGAUUGCCAUAUUCUGUACAGAGAGAUUUUUCUAGAAAUCUUCAUUCCACUGUGUUGACAGAACUUGCAGUAUAGAAGUUCAGGAGUGGGUGUCAGUUCACAGACUCUCAGCCAGUUACAAGGAUGGCUGCAUGCCCAGAUGAAAUGAAGGUUCAGACUUUCCUUCUACUCUUCCUGUUUCUGUAUGUUCACUCUUGCUGAAAAACUAAUCAAGCUGUCUGACACCUGGCACAGGAGGGCAGCACUACGUGUUACCUUCCUGUAUUAAGCUGGCUAGGAAGUUUUAUUACCCAAAAGAAAAGGAAAAAAAAAAUCUCAAGAAGCUAUUUUGAGCUAAAAGCUGGAAGGAAAGAAGCUAGUCAAGCUGAGCCUUCUGUGCUUUUUUUUUCUGUCCAUGCUGAAGGCUGAGAAAAGCCUCUUUCAAAGUACAAGAACCUCUAUACAACUGGGGGGAAAUGGCAUUGUGUGGUUACUUUAAAAACGCUGCUUCUGGCAGGUGGGCAGGUACUGGCUGUAAGUGCAUUUUGUGCAGGACACUUGCAGAUGGGUAGAUAUUGACUGUGAAUGGCAUUUUGUGCGGAACACUUAUUUUUAAAACCUUUAAAUACUUUUAUGAUAUAAGAAAGACAUAUAAAAUCUCUCAAGUACUUUCCCCAAGCCUUAAUUUCCAAGAAAAGAAAUUAAAGUUUUCUAAUCUUCACUGGAGUUGUCGAAUUCCUCCCAGUCUGAUACACUCAUAACUUCUGGUGGAAAGUCAAGAUGAUGCUUCAUUCGGUCUGCGUGCCACUCUGAGAGCCACUUCUCUGUUUCCAUUAAAAUAGCCCUGGGCAACGUGAGGACACAGGCAGCCAUCCCAGAAAUAUCAUCCUCCAGCUGGGGUCCUUCCUCCCAACAGUCUCUCUCUGCAUCAUAGAUGUGCACAUAGUCCAUGCGGAUUCCCCUGUUGUGGGAUCUGCCUCCCAAGACAUAAAUCCUGUUGUCUAAGACUGCAAUGCCUGGCUCUCCGUGUCCUGCAGGAAGUGGACAUACAUUUGUCCACUGAUCAGUGCUUGGCUUAUAGCAGGCAACCUGUAAAACAAAAAAAGAAAAGAGAGAAGGCAAAACUGGACUUGUAUCCUAGUGGCAGAGCCUGGCCAUAAGGUAAACUAUUUAGGAAAGAAUAUUAUCAGUCUUUUGACAGUGUGUUGAUAAUGGAGACAGCAUGUGACUGUCUAAUACAGGUACAGUGCUCAGCAGAAAAUUGUACACAGUUGCCACAUAGCUUUGAAAUCACAAGUUCUGACCCUGCUGCUGGAGUAACAGUUGUAUGUCAUUCCAAAAAUGUAUACAACAGUGAAAGAGAUGGGGACAUGUGCUAAUAUAAGCCCAGACAUAGUUCACCAGUUGCAUUAGAGAAGAAAUGCUGGAACAUACAAAUAUGACAAAUCUGCUGAGUUGUCUCUGCACCAUAUGUUGGAGAGUUUCAGAUUUCAUUGGGUAACUGCUUUCAUUUGUAGGCACCUUCUUAUCAUUCAGACACACUCUUCAGCUAGGUUUAAUUCUGCCAUCUCCACUGGCUCUAUAAAAACAGUUACUUUUUGUAUCUUUUCAAGUCUCUAGCCAUUCUAGAACCUGGAAUAAGGUUCAAGAGAAUCCUCUCCAGAUGUCCCUUACCAUACUGUACAUUUUAAUUGCAUUAUACAACUGCCAUCCAACACAUCCUUAACAGCUCUGCACACUGGUAAUUCAAAAGUCCUCCACUAUAAAAAAUGAAAAAAGCCUCUUUCAAAGUAUAAGAACCUCGACACAACUGGGGGGAAAUGGCAUUGUGUGGUUACUUUACAAACGCUGCUUUCUGGCAGGUGGGCAAGUACCCACCUGCCAGAAAGAGAGCAUAAAGUAAAUUUAACUGAUGUGCUGCUUACUGGGCAUGUGCAUGCCAAUGAAGUUAUCCAUUAGAGAUGAUUUAAAAUUGAUUGAGUUCCAAGUGCUAGAGCUUUAAUGCUUUGUGGGUGAGACAAAGACUUCAAGACAGCCAACGGUGAAUAAAUCAUUGCCAGUUCUGCAGGUGAGUGGGGAAGAGCUCGUCUAGCUGAGCAGGCAGUUUUAUUUGCAUACUUAGUAGGAGAAAUACAUUACACCUAAGUGCCAGCAUGCAGAAGAAGCCAAGAUCAGAGAGAGGUGUGACGUGGUCUCACCUGGUGAACGUCCCUCCUGUAGCCAGAGUCGUUGUUGCUGCCGCCGAUGACGUAGAGCUUCCCCAGCAGCGCGGCCAUGCCGUGCCACGCGCGCCUCACGGGGCCGUCCGCCAGCACGUCCCAGCGGUCAGUCCUGGGGUCGUAGCACUGCAGCUCCUUCAGGUAGUCCUCUCCUCUCCUCCCACACGUGAUGUACAUCUUCCCAUCCAGCGCUGCUCCCGCGUGGGCGUACACCUGCAGCACCAACGGCAAAGCAAGGCUUGAGGUCUGCAUGGUGUGUUUCUCCCGGUUUUGAAGCAGGGAAUGGACAUGAAGGGAGUGACAUUGUUCACGAGUUAUGCAGAGAUCAAAAGCAGAAAGGAUUUUCUUAUGGACAGUUCUUUCUGAGAUAUUAUAAUUGUGAAUUUCUGAAUGAAACGCACUAGAAUUUCCAAAAGUUCCAAAACUGCAGCAUUCUGUCUUUAUUGUUCCUUCAUACUAUAACACUGCUCCCUAAUCUACUUGAAAGCCUUUUUACUGGUGAUUUUUCUUAUAUACAAUCUUUCUUUUUAAGAUAUUAUAAUUGUGAAUUUCUGAAUGAAACGCACUAGAAUUUCCAAAAGUUCCAAAACUGCAGCAUUCUGUCUUUAUUGUUCCUUCAUACUAUAACACUGCUCCCUAAUCUACUUGAAAGCCUUUUUACUGGUGAUUUUUCUUAUAUACAAUCUUUCUUUUUAAGAUAUUAUAAUUGUGAAUUUCUGAAUGAAACACACUAGAAUUUCUAAAAGUUCCAGAACUGCAGCAUUCUCUGUCUUUAUUGUUCCUUCAUACUAUAACUUUACUCCCUAAUCUACUUGAAAGCCUUUUUAUUGGUGAUUUUUCUUAUAUACAAUCUUUCUAAGAUAGUAUAAUUGUGAAUUUCUGAAUGAAACACACUAGAAUUUCUAAAAGUUGCAAAA